rnacentral:rRNA from 1 species
GUUUGAUCCUGGCUCAGAUUGAACGCUGGCGGCAGGCCUAACACAUGCAAGUCGAACGGUAACAGGAAGAAGCUUGCUUCUUUGCUGACGAGUGGCGGACGGGUGAGUAAUGUCUGGGAAACUGCCUGAUGGAGGGGGAUAACUACUGGAAACGGUAGCUAAUACCGCAUAACGUCGCAAGACCAAAAAAGGGGGGACCCUUCGGGGCCUCUUGCCAUCGGAUGUGCCCAGAUGGGAUUAGCUAGUAGGUGGGGUAACGGCUCACCUAGGCGACGAUCCCUAGCUGGUCUGAGAGGAUGACCAGCCACACUGGAACUGAGACACGGUCCAGACUCCUACGGGAGGCAGCAGUGAGGAAUAUUGCACAAUGGGCGCAAGCCUGAUGCAGCCAUGCCGCGUGUAUGAAGAAGGCCUUCGGGUUGUAAAGUACUUUCAGCGGGGAGGAAGGGAGUAAAGUUAAUACCUUUGCUCAUUGACGUUACCCGCAGAAGAAGCACCGGCUAACUCCGUG